CAUAAAGUACAUCUGACACCUCAAAGGCUGAGGUUCUGAAAGAUGAGGGGACAAUGAUGCAGUCACAGGAGACCCUGUCACUCACUGAACCUUCUAGAACACCUCUAGAAUGCUUCCAGAUUUGGACCUCGUCGGUUCUCUGGAACAGCACAGAAGAAGGAUCCUCUCUUAUUGGCAGUGGGGAUCUGGAGAUGCCAUGAUUUCCCCACUUGGACUUGUCCUCUCUGGAUUAAAGUUCAGCAGCAACUUCAGUCCCAGUUGGAAGCCACUGUUUUCUGGUGUGCUGGAGUGCAAGUUUGCACCGUGCCUUCCACGUGUCCCCACUGGAGAGGACUGUGCACAGAGAGGAAGCCAGGGAUGGGGCAUAAGCAGUGCCUAUGCACCCUAAUUCCAAGUGGGGGAGGGUAAGAAUUUAGGGAAUGCAUUGGGGAAAGGGGAGUACGAGAAGUGGAAAUCUGGCCCAAGGGUGAGAACUGGACCAGCCUGGCACCAACAGUAAAAUGACUUGAAACCCAGGCCAGCCACAGCCACAGAUGGGGUCUUGUCCCCACUCUGAGCAAUAUGACCUUUAUUAUCUACAUCAGCAAUGGACAGAAGAUGGGGGACCGAUGGUGGCGGUGCUGGGCUGAGAUUCCAGUCUACGUCCUACACUGCUGAAUUGAGUUGUAAAGAAGCAUAGCACAUGCGUUUUUCAAAUAAGAGGAAGUAGUGCUGUGACAAAUGCAACACACCAUUUAGACAUGACUCUUGAUUUAGAGGAGGUCAUUAAGGGCUUUCUCAAGCCCACAGCAGGGACGGCCAAUGCCGCUGUGGUGCCUGGCCUGUGUCCUGGGUAUCUGGCAUAGGCGCCUUACACGAUGAGCCUCUUCUGUGCCUGGCUGCCUCCUUCCUGGUGAGACCAGAUGGGGAUUUGCUCCUUGGGAGGACACACUGGGCUGCGUUCCUCCUUGAGAAACUAUGUCCCCGAUGAGACUCCCGACAGCCCGUCUGCCUGACCAUGGGCCGCCUCAAUGAUAUGUCUUCUCAACUAUGUGCCUCCCAACCUCAUACCUUAAUCCUGUAGGUUCUCAGUCUCGGAUGUCAUGAUUUUGCCCUGCUCCCAUUGGAAUGACUCACCGGGCUCCCUUCUCCAAACCCCGGCGAAGCUGUUUUGCAAUGCUUAGGGUUAAAGAUUCUCCAUGGCCCCCAGCUUGGGAAGAGCUGCUCACUAAAUAAGGAGGGGGAUUUGUCACCAGGAAUGCCAGUUCCAUAAGCUCCACAAACAAAAAUACCUACUCUCAGGACAAUGAGCCAUCUCGAGGGGACCACAGGCAGGUCUUUAUAAUGCACAUAUUGAUAAAGGAUGAGCUUGUCAUUUCUACAAAGAAGCCUGCUGGGAUUCUGAUAGAGAUUGUGUUACUUCUGAAGAUCAAUCUGGACUCUGAAAAAGAAUAAGAAGAAUAUGCAACAAAGACCUUAUGAAGCCCACAACGCCUAAAAUAUUUACACUCUGGUCCUUUACAGAUAAGCUACUAGAAGCCAACAUGCACCAACAGGUCCAGAAGCAAAGCUUAAGGGAAGACACCAGUACAGAAAAGGCACCCUACUGAAAAUUGUCCUAUUUAUCCCGUUGAUGGAGACCUGGAUCAGAGAAAUGAUUUCUCAACA